AGAGUUUGAUCCUGGCUCAGAACGAACGCUGGCGGCGCGUUUUAAGCAUGCAAGUCGGACGGCAAGGCGGGUAGCAAUACCUGCCCUAGAGUGGCGAACGGGUGAGUAACACGUAGGUGAUCUACCUCUGGAUGGGGGAUAGCCCGUGGAAACACGGGGUAAUACCGCAUGAGGCCUUGUGGGUAAAGCCAUGAGGUGAAAGGUGCAAUUGCAUCGUCUGGGGAUGAGCCUGCGGUCCAUUAGUUAGUUGGCGGGGUAAUGGCCCACCAAGACGACGAUGGAUAGCCGGCCUGAGAGGGUGGACGGCUACACUGGAACUGAGACACGGUCCAGACUCCUACGGGAGGCAGCAGCUAAGAAUCUUCCGCAAUGGGGGAAACCCUGACGGAGCGACGCCGCGUGGAUGAUGAAGGCCGUAAGGUUGUAAAAUCCUUUUGUCGGUGAAGAAUAAGCGGGGGAGUGGAAAGCCCCCGUGAUGACGUUAGCCGACGAAUAAGCCCCGGCUAAUUACGUGCCAGCAGCCGCGGUAAUACGUAUGGGGCGAGCGUUGUUCGGAUUUAUUGGGCGUAAAGGGCGUGUAGGCGGCUCAUCAAGUCUGGUGUGAAAACGCAAGGCUUAACCUUGCAUAGGCGCUGGAAACUGGUGGGCUUGAGUUCUUGAGGGGAAGCUGGAAUUCCAGGUGUAGGGGUGAAAUCUGUAGAUAUCUGGAAGAACACCGGUGGCGAAGGCGAGCUUCUAUCAGAGGACUGACGCUGAGGCGCGAAAGCGUGGGGAGCAAACAGGAUUAGAUACCCUAGUAGUCC
rnacentral:rRNA from 1 species